AAAUAUUUUGAGGGUUGAUACGGAAUUGCUGUCCAUUCGUGUAACUUUGAUGAUUUUUUAACAUUACAUGUUCCGAUUGCCUCUGUCUUUCUAUUUCCUUUUUGUCUGAGAUGGUACAUGAUCGAUUAUAUUAUUUGUGAGAUACGGUUGUUCUAUAAUUUCCUUUGCUUUCUGCGUACUUGUUUUUAAUUGUAAAUAGGAAAAUAUUGGUUGGAGCAUGCGAGAUUGAAUUGAAUAUCACAUUUUUUUAUGAACCUAGAGAUAGAUAUUAUGCAUUUAAUCUGUAUUUUGUAUUUUUGAUUGGUGGAAAUCUG
rnacentral:lncRNA from 1 species